GAUGAACGCUGGCGGCGUGCCUAAUACAUGCAAGUCGAGCGAACAGACGAGGAGCUUGCUCCUCUGACGUUAGCGGCGGACGGGUGAGUAACACGUGGAUAACCUACCUAUAAGACUGGGAUAACUUCGGGAAACCGGAGCUAAUACCGGAUAAUAUAUUGAACCGCAUGGUUCAAUAGUGAAAGACGGUUUUGCUGUCACUUAUAGGUGGAUCCGCGCCGCAUUAGCUAGUUGGUAAGGUAACGGCUUACCAAGGCAACGAUGCGUAGCCGACCUGAGGGGGUGAUCGGCCACACUGGAACUGAGACACGGUCCAGACUCCUACGGGAGGCAGCAGUAGGGAAUCUUCCGCAAUGGGCGAAAGCUUGACGGAGCAACGCCGCGUGAGUGAUGAAGGUCUUCGGAUCGUAAAACUCUGUUAUUAGGGAAGAACAAAUGUGUAAGUAACUAUGCACGUCUUGACGGUACCUAAUCAGAAAGCCACGGCUAACUACGUG
rnacentral:rRNA from 1 species